rnacentral:rRNA from 1 species
GAUCCUGACUCAGGAUUAACGCUAGCUACAGGCUUAACACAUGCAAGUCGAGGGGCAGCAUUUUAGUUUGCUUGCAAACUGAAGAUGGCGACCGGCGCACGGGUGAGUAACACGUAUCCAACCUGCCGAUAACUCCGGGAUAGCCUUUCGAAAGAAAGAUUAAUACCGGAUAGCAUACGAAUAUCGCAUGAUAUUUUUAUUAAAGAAUUUCGGUUAUCGAUGGGGAUGCGUUCCAUUAGUUUGUUGG